GGAGUACGGCCGCAAGGUUAAAACUCAAAUGAAUUGACGGGGGCCCGCACAAGCGGUGGAGCAUGUGGUUUAAUUCGAUGCAACGCGAAGAACCUUACCUACUCUUGACAUCCAGAGAACUUAGCAGAGAUGCUUUGGUGCCUUCGGGAACUCUGAGACAGGUGCUGCAUGGCUGUCGUCAGCUCGUGUUGUGAAAUGUUGGGUUAAGUCCCGCAACGAGCGCAACCCUUAUCCUUUGUUGCCAGCGAUUCGGUCGGGAACUCAAAGGAGACUGCCGGUGAUAAACCGGAGGAAGGUGGGGAUGACGUCAAGUCAUCAUGGCCCUUACGAGUAGGGCUACACACGUGCUACAAUGGCGUAUACAAAGAGAAGCGACCUCGCGAGAGCAAGCGGAACUCAUAAAGUACGACGUAGUCCGGAUUGGAGUCUGCAACUCGACUCCAUGAAGUCGGAAUCGCUAGUAAUCGUAGAUCAGAAUGCUACGGUGAAUACGUUCCCGGGCCUUGUACACACCGCCCGUCACACCAUGGGAGUGGGUUGCAAAAGAAGUAGGUAGCUUAACCUUCGGGAGGGCGCUUACCACUUUGUGAUUCAUGACUGGGGUGA
rnacentral:rRNA from 1 species